CUGCUUCUCAGUCAGUCUGUUUCCAGCCUGCGGUGUUUCAAUGGGCUCUUGCUUCUUGGGGACAGGACUUUGCAUUUGUCCUUACUGAAUUUCACAAGAAGAGUGAAAGAUCUACUUCAGUAAAAUAUUCAAGAAGUGUUUUGUGAAUGCACGAAAUGGAUCCCUGUGGAGAUGGAGAAUGAGAUGAAGAGAAAUCAGAAAGACUGAUUAUGCUGAAACCAGUGCUACAAAAGAGGAUGCUUGAAAGGACAAGUGUGUUUCUCAGCCACUUGUCCUUCAAACAACAUGAUUGUCCUUGUAUGUAUCUGCUUCAUCCAGUUUAUCAGCAUCUCUCUUGAUAAACAUGUAUUUCCACAGUCAUUCAGUGAGUCAACAUGUUUGGAAACAAAACGCAGCAUUCCUUCUUGUUCAAAUGAAACAAAGAUUCAGGAAUUACUUACUAUACCUGACUUUUGUGUCUCAUCCAAAUUGAAGAUGCUAAGCACUCCUGGCACUGAAAACAAACAAAAAUCUGCACAGUUAAGGCAGAGAGUGGGAAUUGAAACUGGAAAAUCUGGAUGGUGAGAAAAUUAACAGGAACAACAAAAUGUAUUAGAUCAUGAUAAAAUUAUUUGUCUCACAGCCAUAAACAAUGUAAAGGGGAUUUAAUAAUUGUUUUGUCAAGAAGACCUUGUUGUAGACAAAGACUCAUGCAAUAACUGUUGUAAAGGUACACCACAAAACAAGAAAGCAUUCUCUGACUGCAGCAGAGUUACAAAUGUACAUGUAAAUGCGUAUGCAAUCCGAGAAACUGAUUGCAACUAUCAAUAGGGAUUUCUGUGAACAUCUGAUCACACGUGCAGUGUAACAAAUACAUUGGGCACAGAUAGUAAGUAGAGAGUCCAAACUCUAACUCAUAGAAUGAAAAACUCAUCUUGUCACCAAAAGAUAGGUUUAAUUUUUUUCCUUAUUUCCUUGUUUCCUUUUUUUUUUUUUUUUUUUUUUUUUUUUUUAGAAGUGAAGCCAAACAGUUUCAGGAGGAGCAGAACUAACAUAUCCAGAUUUCAUAUGGAUUUUUUUCAUAUGGAUCCCAUCCCUUAUGUUUUCUUCCUUGUCUCCACUGCUACCCUGUAUGUUUUGCUGAGUUAAAACAGCAGCACAUAUGUAUAGUUAGAAAAUAAUCAUAAUGUGCUGACUUACUGGCUGAGUGUUACCACUUGAUUACAUAAGAGCCCGAGUUAUAAGUUUUUAUUUAAUGAUCUACUCAGCCAAGUAUUAAUACAACUUGUAAGAAUUUAAUUUAAGGCAAUCCCUUGUGUCAGACUCAAUUGAAUAUGGUUAAUAUAUUUAAAAGUUGGAGGGGAGAACAGUGCUGCACCAGAAAGUCAAUCUGACUGAGGCAACAGAGCAUCUUACAAGCACCACAGGGAAGUGUACUCUUCCUCAUUAAAACUGCAGCAUAAGGUCUCUGAGGAAUGGGAUAUUCUGUUAUGUUUCAUUGCUGGGUAGCAGAGGAGUGGUCUGACAAAAUGGCGUCUUACAUGGAAGUUUGUAUAAAGCAAAGGUGUGUCACUGAAUUCCUUUGUGUGGAAAAAAUGGCACCUCCUGACAUUCAUCAACACUUGCUGAAGGUUUAUGGAGACCUAACAGUGGAUGUGAGCACAGUGAAGUGGUGUGUUUCAGCAGUGUUGACAGUGAUGCGAAAGAACAGCUCAUUCAGCUAUAGGCUAGAUCACUUAAGCUCUCUUGGGCUUCACGAUUGAAAUGUAUGUAUUCUUGUAAUAGAGAAUAGAUUGGAAAACCAGAGUAACCUCCAGUUUAUAAUGGUUUGUGCAUUCUUUGUAAUUGUGGAUUUGAAACAAAAAACUGUGCUCCCCUCAAUCCUCCCCAGCUAAAGAGCUUCUCUGUAAGAAAUAGUGUAUAUGCUCUAAGUCUGUUUUCAUAACAGAUUUGAAUCUCUUAUGUUUCUAUAAUAUUCAGUUUAUUCAAAUUAUCCUUCAUUUGAAUAAUGCUUUAUAAUUUGUUGUAGAUGUAACGCAAGCUGCCUAUGAAAAUUUCAAACUAACUUUGUUUUUCAGAGUCACUCUUUGACUUUUUUUGUUCUUUUUUUUUUAAAUUAUUUUUCUUAAUACAUCUUAUUCUGAUUUUCUUGGCUUAGUUUUUAUUUCUUUGUUUUCUGUUGUUACAAUUUAAGCAUUUUGUCCAGUCUUUGUGAAAGCAGUGUAAUCAAUUCAGUAUAGCAUUAAAAUAAUUCAGUGUAUAAUUAACUUCAGGUUUUUCAAUACUUUCUUUUGAUAUGAUGUACAAAGUUAUUUCCCUUAUGAAUUUCAAUAAGUUAAAGCUCUUCAGUGCUUAAUGAAACAUUAAAGAAAAAAUGGUGUAUCACACUAGCAGUAUUUUCUACCAUCUCCAUCUUUAAAACAAGUGGCAAAUCCAUGCAUGUAACUUCUGCAUUUCCUAACUAUGUUUAUGGAGUAUAAGGAAUAAAUACAAACACCAUCUAACUGCUUUAAUGUUUACUAGUUGAUGGUUGUUCCUUGAAUAAAUAUUGAGCAGUACUAUUCAUUCAAUAAUAAAUAUUCAAAAUAUUGAGCAGUAUUCUUUCUUAGAAUUUUAUUAAUUUCCUUUUAAAUACCCAUAUUCUUUUAAAUUUUAAUGCCCAGAAUCAUAGAACCAUAGAAUGUCCUAGACUGAAAGGGACCCAUAAGGAUCAUAGUCCAGCUCCUCCUGUUUCAUAUCAUUUUAAAAAGGCAAGAUAUUAAAAUUACAUUCACCACAUGCUCAGUGUGUUCUCCGGUUGUUUAUCUGUUUUCCUUCUUAAAUAUCCAGUUUCUGGAUUUAAAACAAAACAAAACCCAAAUCUACAGGUGUUAUAAACAAAACAAGAAGUAGAUUAAAACAUGAGUUAUUUGAAGUGUGUGAAUAACUUCAGUUGUGGUUUUUUGUGAUAUGAGAUAUGUAAAGGACCUUUCCUUACUUUCCAUAACCCCAUAAUGUUUCAAGGGUGCAGGAAUGUCAGAAAGUAGCAAAAAGGAGGAACGAAAUGCAGAACUCAGCUUACAAGAAGGCAGGUGGCUUAUAUUAAUUGCUUUGCUGGAAAGAUUUUGAAUGUCCUUCCUACAUAGCAUAAUUCUUGUAAAACCUUAUUUUUUGCAUCUUGUGUCUUCUUCCUGAGACGUUUUCCUCAGUGCUCUAGCACAACUCAAGUCAUGGAUGUUUUUCACAUUAAAAAAAAAAAUCUAUAAGUUAAAAAAGAAAAAAGAAAAAAAGAAAAAAAAGUAGAAUGUGAGAAAGUACACAGUAGAUGGAGAAUAUUUUCAAUUCAAGUUGAUAUGAACUCCAAAAAUUCCAAUGCAACUUCUGAAAUUCCCUGGAAAAACUGUUCUUUCAUGCUUCCCCUCCUUUUUUUUUUUUUUUUUUUUUUUAAUUUUAUUCUUGCAUUGUCUUGUAAAUCCAAGCUUCUUCUAUACAGCUACAUUUGAUAAGAGAGUAGGUCCAUUCUUUUGGCACAGGAGAAGAUUAAUUUUUUCAUUGCCUAAGGCGAGACUCCUGCCUUCAGUUUUAAUCCUUCAUAAUCCCCUCACCACCUCUGUGCAAAAGUGCACAGAAUAAUUUAGAUAUGUUUUCAGGCUCAGAAAGGCUGAAAGUAGAUUUGGGAUUUAAUUUAAUUUUUCCUCACAACUUUGUUCUGAAAGCACAAAUCAUAAUUAAUUGACUUGUGUGAGCAAACUUGGCACCAAACGGUUAGCAAGGACAAUCCUUUCUACAAAAGCUAGGAGUUAAAAAAGUGUAAACUACAAAAUAAUACAAGGCUCAUGAUUUUUGAACAUGGUUAACAAUGGUUGAAUUUUGUUUUACUGAACUCCACAAAAAUUGCACCAUUGACUGGUAGGAAAGUUAGGCUAAAAUAACAUCCAAGCAGCACUAGAUUCUUCAUGAGAUCUUGUUUUAGUUGUGGCAGGGAUAUCCUUGUUUUAGCCAAAGGUAAAAGAUAAGUAAGAUCUUGUACACACUAUCAACUUUUUAUUUAAGGUUUUGAUCUUAGAUUUCUUACUAGGUGUAUUUGUGAAAGACACUUAUGUGUCUAGAGUGAAAUGCAGCGUUUGGCUUGGUGGCUACCAUGGAAAGGUGCACCAUCGUGAACAAAGCGAGAGAGUAGUCAUGAAGUACCUUAAAGGAGGAAUGAGAUUGCAGAGGAUAUAACUAAAGAUCAAGUUAUCAUAUAUCAUAUAUAUCAUGCCUCUGGAAACCGAAGAUGAGAAGAUAACCUGGAGUGCACAGUCCAGAAGAAUUAUGGUAGGUUCACUCAUGAGUGAAUCAGUAGAGAAUACACCUAGAAGAUGACUUCUUAUACCAGUAUUUUGAAUGAACCCUAAGAAAAGGAGAUUAAAGCAGACAGCAUGCAAAGAAUAAGUAGUUAGUAAGAAUGAGAUUAAUUUUGAACUGUUUUCUGUCAAAAGUUGCACAUCUAAUUUAGUUUUCCUGGCUCCCUCAAUGUGCAGUGCAGCUCUCUGGAGUAAUUCAUCCUAUGUUUUUUAAACACCUCUUUUAAAAUGGAGUCUUUUGUCCUUUGGAAGCGCCUGUUCCUCUUUCUCCACAAAGAAGGAAACUUCAGUGGUGAUCAUAAAUGAUCUUCUUAGCCUGUGGGCAGCUGGAAAUAGGAAUUUCUCAUCCUAUAGAAGAUACAUGAACUGAAGGAGUUCCCCUGCCUCCACCCUCCCCCCCAGAAAAGAAAAGAAAAGAAAAGAAAAGAAAAGAAAAGAAAAGAAAAGAAAAGAAAAGAAAAGAAAGAAAAGAAAAAAAAAACAGAGAUGAGACUAUUUGUGAGAUUAGUGACUUUGCAAAAAAAUAAAAAAAUAAAAAAAUAAAAAAAAACCACUGAGUUUGACGUUAUCCAACACAUAUUUUCCUGCUCAUACAAGCAUCAGUUUUUUCUGGCAGAAGGUGAAGUUUAAAUUGUAACCCCCAAGAGAGAGCCAUCUGCAGCAUAACCAGCAGCAAACUGCUUCCACUGGUGCUUCAUUGGCAUCUGGAAGGAUUAGGCAUCCUUGCUUCAGUUAGCUAGAAUUCAAGAACUAAUCUUUAUGUAUUUUUAAGUAGCUAAGAUCUUGCUGGUGUUCCUGAGAGAUUUUGUCAGUGGAAACGACUAUUUACUGAUUUCAUGCAAAUCACCUGACUCUAAGAUGCUCUCUCAAAGCAAAUCCCUAGAGACCAUAGAAAUUGAAAGUAAUACACAUAAUUCUCAGUUUUUAUGCAAUUCAGUGUACUUUUUCCUAUGAAUUAUGAAAACGGAACUGUAACUAAAGCUUAGAUAAGUACAAAUAUGGUUAGUGAAACAAGUUUUUCUCGAUCUGCAUUUCCUCUAAUGUUGUUUAUUAUAUUUGUCUUUUAGAGAAAAUUUCAUCCUCUGGGCCUUCUUAAGUCUCUAGAGUUCUCUGUCCUGGAGCUUAAAACUGCAUUCAUCUUAGAGGGUUGUUUCCUCCCCCUCCCCCCCUUCAAAUGACAGUUGUUCUUCUCUAAUUUUAAAGUAGGGUGUUUUUUUUGUUUGUUUGUUUGUUUUUUUUAUGUUGUUAUCAUACUGAAUAACAGAAGAUUAGACUGUGCCACAGCUAAUUUCUGUUCAAUGUGCACAAUUGUAUUCAUGAGAAAACACACUGAGAAACUUCUGAAAAAAAAAAAGAGGGGUGGAAGGAAGUUCUUCUUGCUGAUGUUCUGGAAAGAAAUGUCCUGUUGUAGUGCUUCUUAUAUAUCUGACUGUCUUUAUGUGCAGAGGCAAGAACAGAGCUACUCUUACUUUUUAUCUGGGGCAUUUGUGAAGAAAGACAUGGUGGGGGGGAUUUCUUAACUUCAAGCCUUCAUUUUUAGUUGUCAACUGGGACAACUAAAUAUUAAUGCAUAAUAAAAUGAUGUUCUAAUUAUUAUGUUGAACUUUCACAUUUUUUGAAGAGUCUGUUCCAGCCCUUUCCCUUUUAAUCAGUACCCAACCUGUCACAGGAUACUGCUGUUUUCCCUCAAGGAUGACAUGCUUCAUUUUAUAAAGGAGGUGUUUUUAGAAAAUGUGUCUUUCAGACCUUAGCAGUCCUGACCUCCAGUUCUCAGAUCCCUUGUGUAUUCCUGUCUAAAUGUACUACAUUCCGUAUUAUUGGGAAUUUUUAUCCUGUGAGCAAUGCCUGUGUUAAAAUGCAUGAUCUCAUAAGAAAGUAAAUGACAAUUAAGUUUAGUUCAAGUCAAUUGCAAAUCUUAUCCUGAUGGGUUUGCAGAUGCUAAAGCAGAGGUCAUUCUAUGUUUGGGAACACGGACUAGGAAUUAAAUGCUAGCAUUCAUAAAAAUGCUUGAAAGUGGUUUCAUAUUAAAUACUUAUCAGUUCAUAUGCUAUACUCUAUCAGAAUAAGUGUUGUAUAAAAAACAGUCACAGACAUUAAAUAUUUGCUAUUUAAUGCAGAG
ensembl:lncRNA